AUUGAACGCUGGCGGCAUGCCUUACACAUGCAAGUCGAACGGCAGCACGGGAGCAAUCCUGGUGGCGAGUGGCGAACGGGUGAGUAAUAUAUCGGAACGUGCCCAGUAGUGGGGGAUAACUGCUCGAAAGAGCAGCUAAUACCGCAUACGACCUGAGGGUGAAAGGGGGGGAUCGCAAGACCUCUCGCUAUUGGAGCGGCCGAUAUCAGAUUAGCUAGUUGGUGGGGUAAAGGCCUACCAAGGCAACGAUCUGUAGUUGGUCUGAGAGGACGACCAGCCACACUGGGACUGAGACACGGCCCAGACUCCUACGGGAGGCAGCAGUGGGGAAUUUUGGACAAUGGGCGCAAGCCUGAUCCAGCAAUGCCGCGUGCAGGAAGAAGGCCUUCGGGUUGUAAACUGCUUUUGUCAGGGAAGAAAACCUCUAGGUUAAUACCCUUGGGGGAUGACGGUACCUGAAGAAUAAGCACCGGCUAACUACGUGCCAGCCGCCGCCGUAACAC
rnacentral:rRNA from 1 species